rnacentral:rRNA from 1 species
UACGGAGGGUGCAAGCGUUAUCCGGAUUCACUGGGUUUAAAGGGUGCGUAGGUGGGUCUGUAAGUCAGUGGUGAAAUCUCCGAGCUUAACUCGGAAACUGCCAUUGAUACUAUAGAUCUUGAAUUUUCUGGAGGUAAGCGGAAUAUGUCAUGUAGCGGUGAAAUGCUUAGAUAUGACAUAGAACACCAAUUGCGAAGGCAGCUUACUACAGGAACAUUGACACUGAGGCACGAAAGCGUGGGAUCAAACAGG